GACGAACGCUGGCGGCGUGCCUAAUACAUGCAAGUAGAACGCUGAAGGAGGAGCUUGCUUCUCUGGAUGAGUUGCGAACGGGUGAGUAACGCGUAGGUAACCUGCCUGGUAGCGGGGGAUAACUAUUGGAAACGAUAGCUAAUACCGCAUAAGAGUAGAUGUCGCAUGACAUUUGCUUAAAAGGUGCAAUUGCAUCACUACCAGAUGGACCUGCGUUGUAUUAGCUAGUUGGUGAGGUAACGGCUCACCAAGGCAACGAUACAUAGCCGACCUGAGAGGGUGAUCGGCCACACUGGGACUGGGACACGGCCCAGACUCCUACGGGAGGCAGCAGUAGGGAAUCUUCGGCAAUGGACGGAAGUCUGACCGAGCAACGCCGCGUGAGUGAAGAAGGGUUUCGGAUCGUAAAGCUCUGUUGUAAGAGAAGAACGAGUGUGAGAGUGGAAAGUUCACACUGUGACGGUAUCUUACCAGAAAGGGACGGCUAACUACGUG
rnacentral:rRNA from 1 species